AUUCCCACCCCUACCCAGGACCGGCAGCCGGAGCCUUGGGUCCCUGCAUGGGCCUGGGGCGCCCUGUGCCCCUUCACCUCGUCCUCGUCCAGUUGACUGCUGUGGCAGCCGGUGCUACCCGCUGUGUCCACUGCACCCUGGCCCUGUUCUGAGCGGUCACAGCAGCUGGGGAGAAGGGCCAUCCUGGAAGCCGGGCAGAUGAGGACGGAACCAGACAGUCCCACUGUGGUGGGCAGAGGUUCCUCCUCUCCCGGCCCCGCCCCGGCCCGGCCCCGCCGAGCGUCCCACCCGCCCGCGGGAGACCUGGCGCCCCGGCCGAGGCGCGAACAGACGGACGCACCGGCGAGCGCCGAGGGGACAGGCCGAGCGCGGGGCGCCGGAGGCAGGUGUGGGACAGGCACUGGCCUCAGACCGGGGCCACACUGAGGUCUGCCCUUCUCCCGCUGGCCGCCACCCAAGACACCAUGAGCCAGUCCGGGGCCGUGAGCUGCUGCCCGGGUGCCACCAAUGGCAGCCUGGGCCGGUCCGACGGUGUGGCCA
rnacentral:lncRNA from 1 species